UUUCCUUUCGCUUCACAAAACAUUAAGUAUUACUGCUCAAUGCCUCAUCUGAAUCUCAAAAAUAUUAAUCACAAAUAACGAAUGACGUGCCCUACCUAUCACAGGAAGACUAGCUCAAGAAACUUGCCAGCAGCCCACAAACGAGUCCACUUUCUUUGUAUCUUGCCACGAGGCUCUCUACGUCAAGCUGAGAAGUUAGUAUUGAGGACACAAUUCUAGCCUGCACAUUUCAGUAAGAACCAACCGUGGGACUCCUGUUCGUCUCCUGUCCCUUUCCUCUGCGCUGCCUGAGGGUCUCCACAGGAGGGAUUCUCAGUGUUCAGGCCUGCAAAUGCCUCAUUUAAAGCAUCAUAGGAGGGUCCAGGCAGCUCUUCCUGCCCAUGAGUCCUGUCCCCGUGGUCCACUAAAAUCACCUUUUUGCACCAAAGACAUCUUCAAGAAUUCUCUCCUGGCCGCCAGCUCUGAGCCCCAUGAACCCCGCCAUCACCGCAUAACUUCAUCAAUGAUCUCACAGUUCGUGGGUUCGAGCCCCACGUCGGGUUCUGCACUGACAGCGUGGAGCCUGCUUGGGAUUCUU